AACACUUCUACUUUCACAAGCCUGAAUAAAAGAAUGAAGAAUUAAGUGUUGUUUCCAAACUUUAGAGGAAUAUGAAUUGGGGGAAAAGCUUUGUGAUGGCUCUUCUUUCACACAGAUGUUUCUCUUGGGCUUAGUUCAAAAGGAAGUAUUUGUUUAGCUUUCCAAAUUUGUCCACUAAUCUCUGUUUCAGAGGAAAGCUAUCCAGCCCCUCACAAGGAGAAGGCCACAUCUGAGGAAGCCAGCUCAGGACAGGACUGAAGUGCUUUACCUGGAUGAUUCAGAGCAGCUGCAUUGCACUGGAGUAGGCAUUCAGUCAAUUCCUCUCCUGGGCCAAGAGCUGCUCCUUUUUCAUGCUCUUUGAAGAAUUAUAACACUGUCAGCAAGCUAAUACAAUAUCAAAGUGCCACUGAUGGAUUUGGAGGCCCCAUCUCCUCAACUACAACUACAGGAUGCAUCCCGGGUCAGAUCCUUCAGGUGGUUUCUUAGAAUAAGGUUGAGACUGUUCUCAUCAGCCUCUGGAGCUCCUGAAGGAGAAACUCCCAGUGCGCGUUACAGACCCAGCUUUGAACACAGGUGAUGUAGGCACUCUCUGCAGAAGUAGAGUCUACUGGAACAAGCAGUGGAUCAUCCUUGUUCCAUGAGGUAGAAGAAACAUCUUUGUUCACAGAAGGAUCAUUUUUCACAAAAUGUACAAGGAUCAGUUACAACAGCCAUAUCUUCCUGUUCCCCAUCUCUCUCCUCCAUGGAGGAGGAGAAGAAGGGGCCAUGAGCAUGAAAGUUUGGAUAACCCUCUUUUUAGAGGAACUUUAUGGGUAAACAAAUAUAUCCAAAUGAACAACAAAGCAUAGAAAUUUCCCCAGGAGCCCAAAAUGUUGCCUAGAAAAAGUUUGCAAUGAAUUAUUACUAUUAUUUUUAAUUUAAACUGUGCCAUGCAGGUUCAUAAUUUUUAAUAUAGUGGUGUUAAUGAAGUCAUGAAAGUUUAAAUAUAUGAGUAGGGCAAGAUAUAUAUAGGAGGAAGGAACAGAUUUUACUGUCCUGAUUGAUGUAUUGGGAAAGCAGACAAGCUGUAGGCAUGAGGUCUUUAGGUAAACAGUAACAGGGAGACUCUGACCUCAAAAGUAAGUUAAUGGAUAGCAUAAACUCCACAGGGAUUGGAGACAGUACACAUUUCUAGGAGGUAUUUGAAUGGAUGUUUGUCAUAGGAAGUUUUUAACAGAGACAACAAAUUGGUGUUGGCUCACUUUUUGGCUUUUAAAGCUGUAAGGUGAAUGCAUUUUCCUGUAUCUGGAAAAUAUUUUCUAUUUUGAAAAUGUUCCUGUCUGAACUGCAGUAAAACUAGAAACUGCAGUAAGUUGAUGAG
rnacentral:lncRNA from 1 species